GUGGAUUAGAUACCCGGGUAGUCCACGCCGUAAACGGUGGGCGCUAGGUGUGGGGCACUUUCCACGUGCUCUGUGCCGCAGCUAACGCAUUAAGCGCCCCGCCUGGGGAGUACGGCCGCAAGGCUAAAACUCAAAGGAAUUGACGGGGGCCCGCACAAGCGGCGGAGCAUGCGGCUUAAUUCGAAGCAACGCGAAGAACCUUACCAAGGCUUGACAUAUAGGGAAAUCUCAUAGAGAUAUGAGGUCCGCAAGGGUCCUAUACAGGUGGUGCACGGUCGUCGUCAGCU
rnacentral:rRNA from 1 species